GGUGGCCUAGUGAUUAGAGCUUCCGCAUCGAAUGCGGGAGGUCGUGGGGUUCGAUCCCCAGCAGAGUCA